rnacentral:rRNA from 1 species
GCUGGCGGCGUGCCUAACACAUGCAAGUCGAACGCGAAAGUCCCGCAAGGGAUAAGUAGAGUGGCAAACGGGUGAGUAACGCGCGGGUGACCUGCCUUCGAGCGGGGGAUAACGUUCCGAAAGGGACGCUAAUACCGCAUAACAUCCUGCCUUUGAACAGGUGGAGAUCAAAGCUGGGGAUUCGCAAGAACCCGGCACUUGAAGAGGGGCCCGCGUCUGAUUAGCUAGUUGGUGAGGUAACGGCUCACCAAGGCAACGAUCAGUAUCCGGCCUGAGAGGGCGGACGGACACACUGGGACUGAGACACGGCCCAGACUCCUACGGGAGGCAGCAGUGGGGAAUUGUUCGCAAUGGGCGCAAGCCUGACGACGCAACGCCGCGUGGAGGAUGAAGAUUUUCGGAUCGUAAACUCCUGUCGAAUGGGACGAACAGGUUGCGGGUUAAUACACCGCAGCCCUGACGGUACCGUUAAAGGAAACCCCGGCUAACUCCGUGCCAGCAGCCGCGGUAAUACGGGGGGGGUAAGCGUUGUUCGGAAUUACUGGGCGUAAAGGGCUCGUAGGCGGCCA